CUGGGGUGGAAACCGCGGCCUACUUUCCCGCCUCCAGCAAACUCUGCAAUUGCUGAGGUUGAUUUAGCAGCACCCAAGGGAUCUGGGUCGGCAAGAGCACCUCAGUGACAGCCUGGCACCGGGGUCCGCAGGAGAAGGCCAGGCUGGGGCCAGGGAGCUGAGGCUGAGGAGGAGCGUUUGCACAGGCUAGGGAGACACGGCACAGCAGUAUCCGCCUCAGACAUUUGUAGCACCGUUAGUCCUGCCACUUUCUCUCACUGUAGCUUCGCAACAGACUUGGGAACCAAGCAAGGCAUGGCUGAGGAAGCUUAAGCCCAGUCUGGGCUCGCGGAAGAAGCUGGUGGAUCCAAAUAUCUGCUUCCUGCCUCCACCCACCCCUCCCCGCUCCCGUGGUUGGGGAACUCCAGAGCCCCACAUCACAGUUCAGCACGUGCCUCAGGAGCUUCAGCACCUCCUUCGUGAAAGGAGAGUCUGCCGGUAACGGGGGAAGCAGGCCAUCAGCCUGCCCAGCUUCAUCUCAGGCCGCUUCCAACAGCGCCAAGCAAACUCCCUUGGCAAGAUCCAUGCAAGGCCGCGGCUGACCACCGGGAGGCAGCAGCCUACUCUGCAAGGCACUCUCUUUACCCGACCCCCACCCCCUUUUAACAGGUGGCAGGAAACCUGCUGGCCCAGCCAUCUGCCGCACCCACCCUUCACUCCCAGUCCCAUCUCCCCAUAGCACAGAUUUCCCUAUCAUGAGCCCAGACGUGGCCUGCAUCUCCUCUUGCCUUCCUCUGCCCAAGGAAUCCCUACAGAGAUUCUUUCUCUAUCUUCCUUUAUACAUUUCCACAGAAUUGUUUCCCCAGGGCCCCUCCCCUUGAAGAAAUUAGACAGGAAGCUGGAGUAGAUGGUUCCCUCUUUCCCACCUCUCACACUCCCAAGCUCUGGUUAACUCUCUGUGGGCCAGUGGCUAGAUUCCCCAACACAGAUGACAACUGAACAAUACACAUGCAGCGUAAGAAUGUUGUCGCUGCCACCAGCCACUUACAGAUACACCAUUGCUAAGGUCCACCCAACUGGACUGUUUCCCCCUUCCAUAGACUAAGCCCCAAAGGCCAAAAAUAAAACCCCCUACCCCAAACCUGCCUAUAACUGUUUGACCAGAGGCCAGCUGUCCCAGGAUGCGGUUAAGAUGUCUACCUUGCACAACAGAACUGGCAAGAAAAACAUCUCCAGGAAGCGGUCAGAUACACGGCACAAAGGACUCCCCCCUCCCCGCUUUUCCUUUUCCUUCACCCUGACC
rnacentral:lncRNA from 1 species